AACCUCUGCUGUGGUCUGGUGCCCACGGCAGUGCCAGCCCUGACUCGGCCCCGUGCCAUACAGUCACGGCUUUGCCCACUUUCAUUUCUUUCCUUUUUUUCCCAAAGGACAGAGUUUAGGGAAGCAGGGCCUACCUUGCUCAUGGGAGCCAGAUUUCUGUGCCCACAGAGCACCCCCCACACCGUGGGAAUUCCCCCUCUGGUUUGUUUUCUGUUUUUGUUUUUUUUUGCUCCAAAUUUAGAAUCUGGGCUGUCCUGUGUGGGGCAUCCUGGGUGUUUCAGGAAGAUCGAUGUCAUGGAGACCUGGAAACAGACGCUGGGACUGUGUGUGCCACCGCCUGGACAGAAGCCGCAGUGGCGUGGGCGCCUGUGAGGCGGCAGGGCCCCGGCCUCGCGGCCUCCAGCGCCUGAUCACCGUCAGCUCCCUUCCCGGGUCGGCUGCUGCACCGGGGCCGCCUCCGGGCAGCGUCAGCCGUGGAUGCGCACGUGCAGGGGCCAUCGUGCCCGAAACGACCGAGGCUCCAUCCCGCCCAAGAGGAAGGCAGCCCCGGGAGACGCGGGCGGCCGCCGACCCGGCUCUGUGGUCAGCUGCUGCUUCUCAAAAGAGGAGGCGUGCGGUGCCAGCCACGAUGAAGACCGUGGGAGACACACGCGGGGUCACACCGAGCACGGCGGGCAGGACCUGGUCGUCUGGCUGCCCUGUCCCAGAUGGCAGUGCUGUUGGGCUGCUCACACGCGUGUCACCGCAGGCUCAGAGUCAGGGGGACCACAGCCAUGUGACAGCGGUUCCCGCGCCGCCUGGCGAGAGGCGGUUUUUGGUUCCAUUGUAAUCUUAGGAGACCACCACCAGACGCAUGUUGGUCAUGGAUGGCACCACGGACAAGCAGCACGCGGCUGCAGACUUGCAGUCAGGCACACACAGUCCCACACAUCCAUGGGUAAGCACGCGGCUGCAGACACGGUGCUGCGUCCCGCCCGUGGGUUCAGGGCAAUCACUGAGGUCUGG
rnacentral:lncRNA from 1 species